AAUUAUAGACUCUGUAAAAGUUGGGUAAUGUAAGUGUGUCACAAGGUGACGAUCUUUAGGGGCGGAACCAAAAUUCGGGAAGUGUUUCCGCCCGGACCGGAAAAACAGAACACCGGAACUUCCGGUAGCGCCGUAAGAAGGAAAAUCAGGGAAUUCGAUGCACCUGUGCCUAGUUAGGGACAGCGGUUGGUGAUUGGAGGAUACGCUGGACAAGGCAGUACUUAAGGCCAAGUUAUUUCACAGUCUGGGAGCUCUUUCUGGCUGGAAUUGUAUGAUUGUGAAGACAUCGCGAACCUUAAAGGUUGAGAAGUGAACGGAUUAUACGGCGAACUGAGACGACGUGAAAAAAGGGGAUUGGAAGCGGCAUUGAUGUGAGUACUAAGAACCAGUCGAAAGUGCCCUGUAUAUUGACCUGGCGUUGUGUAGAUCUCUCCAGGAGGAGGAGGGCGGCCCUACCCCUAAUAUAGCGUGGUGGGAGAGCCGAAGGAAUACUUAUUGAAGUAGUCACAACGACGACAUCACUAGCUAGGCCGCAUAUUCCAUCGCCAGAUCCGAACCAAGCGAAGUGAAGGAAGACGGGUGUCCUUUUCGUACACUGAGUGUGGUGGGUGAGUCUUCGUGCUGUGAAAACCUAUAAUUUUGACGUGGUGUUGUAUAUUGCUGUGGGCUGCUGUGUAUUGCCGUGUGUCCUGUCAGAUAAACCCCCGCCUUCACGCACUUCGUCGCGGGAGGACAAGGAGACUGCUGGUCCUAGCCUAGUUCAGUACAGUAUAUGUUGUGAGCGUGCUUCAGAUCUCCGGAGAUAGCACAGUACGCUGUGUCCAGCCCAGAGGUGAAAGCCAUCCAAAGCAGAGUAACUGUGCUUUGCGUCCAAGUUGAUACCUGUGGAGAGGAAAGGAAAGAGAGAUUGAUACCUGUGGAGAGAAAAGGAGAGAGAGUGGGUAACACGAGGAGAGACCGAGGAAACCUGUACUUACGCCGCUGCCUGUGGAGAAAGAGAAAGCGACCGUUGCCUGUGGAGGAAGAGAAAGAGAGUGAGUACCUCGAGAACGAACUGUGUGAACCAGUACUUACCGUGAGCUGUAUUCAGCGAAGAGGAGGAGGAAGGAGGGCGCUACGGAUACCUAAGACUCAGGCCGGGGCCCGAGUCCCACGCCCCGGAUCCCCGUGGCCCCCUUGCUCCCUGACCUCUUCCCGGCCAUAGCCCAUCUGGAGGGCCGAGUCAGAGUUUAGUUUUAAUUGCCCUUUCCCUAUUCCCCAAGCUAUUUUUAAAUAUUUAAAUAAAGAUUGUUUUAUCACUUGUUCUCGCGUUGUU
ensembl:lncRNA